AAUACUUAUAAAUAUUUUAUAAUAUUAGAUAAGUGGCAUUGUACAUGUCGACUAACUGCACAUAAUAGACCUCAGUAAAUAGUAUCUUUCUUUUAAUUUCUAUUACUAUUACAGGUAUUAACAUUUUUAUCAGCUCCUUUUUCGUUUUCCUUUUAUAAAGGGAAUGUGAUAGCUUUCUGAAGUGUCAACCUGCCUGCUCUGAAAUACAAUCCGCAGAUUUCCUUUUCUGGCACAUUUCCUCUUCAAGUUGGCUUCAGGACUGAACGUGGGUUGGUGAGAAAGAAACACAGGAGGCUAAAAGCAAAGAAGCAUACGAGUGAGGCUGGAGAGAUCACAAGAGAGGUGGAACAUGAGGAAACCACAAAGCCAAGGGAAACAGUUUGGAGAGGAAAGAAAAGCACAAUUGCUACAGUGACUCUGUAGCAGAAGUUUCUAGGACCAGAUGCUGUGGAGCUCACAGGAGAGGGUAAAAGACUUUAUUAAGAGGUUUAGCUUUGAGCUGAGUCUUGAGAUGGGGUCUGCAAGCUGAAGGAAAGUCAAGAUAGAAGGAAGAGCAUAAACCAUUAAGCACCAUGACUUAUUCAUGGUAUUGGUAGCAUUUCCUUUAGAAUGUGAAUUAAAGCCCAGAAAAUAUAAAGGAAACAAUAAGAACUUGAAGCUUGAAAUUAAGGCA
rnacentral:lncRNA from 1 species